rnacentral:lncRNA from 1 species
AUGGAGGCUCUGGCUGUCUCCUGGCGGCCGCGGCCCAGUUCCCUCAGCCUCAGUGGGCAGCCGCGUUGGAACGACGACCCCAUGGGGCCCCGAACCAGAGCCAGACUGGCCAGCGCUCCAGAUACACCUGCCAGGACAGCCCCUGGCUUUGAAGGCCCCCAACUCUCCCUGUCAUGGCCGAUGAUUGACAGCCAGGCCCAGGGGUCAGUGAUGAGGACCAGCUCCCUGGGACAAGCAGGGUUCCAUCCUAGCUAUAUGGUGGCCCAUCCAGCCCCAGACCUGUUUGGGGGGCUGCCACCUUCGCCCCUCUCACCCUUCUGUGUAAGCCAGUGGCCUGAGCUGCUGUCCUCCUUGGGUUCAGGGGUGUUUGCUUUCCCUAUCAUGCCCCCAGCCUGGGGCACCCCCACUUCCGCCCCUGCUCCACCCUACGAGCCCCCCGACCCCAAAACCAGGACCCUCUAAUCCUCUAACCCCUGUAGCUUCAUGUCUUCCAACUAUGUUACCAAAAAAUAAGUCAUAUGUAGUUAGAGCUGUGGUCUACUCUACGCACAGUAUGUAAACUGUAUAUAUUUAACCAGCAUGUAUGUAUAUAGUAAGCAUUUGUAUAUAUAGCCCAUAUAUGUUGUUGUCAAUGUGUGUGACAUUAUCAACCUCAAUUUACAUACCUCAUAUGUAUGUACAUAAGGGACAUAUGUAUGUUUUAUCACCUGUGUGAAUGUGUUGUACUGUAUUUAAGGUGUGUAAUACAUUCAUUAUAUUUGCAUAAUCCAUUCAUUUAUUUGUGCAUAUAAGCUUUCUGUGUAUUUAAAUGAUCUAUUCCUAUAUCAUUCAUUCCUACUGUAAGUCUUUGUACAUAAACUGUUUAUGUUUGUGUGUUUAUCACCCAUAUGUGUGUAUGUGUGUGUGUUUUUGUGAGACAGUGUGUGUCCAACAUGUUAUCCAUAUGUACAGUAGGGCUCUAUCCUAACCCAGACGAGAGCCAUUCACCAUCUUGCCGUCACUGUGAAGCCUCGUCUACCUGGUUACCAGCCUGGUCUCCCUGGUUAUGAGCCUUGUUACCCAGGUCACCAGCUGUGUCACCCUGGUUAACAGCCUGGUCACACUGUUGGUUUCCCUGGUUACCAGCCGUGUCACCCUGGUUACCAGGACCGCCUGCUUUAUUACUCUGACAUUUAUGUUGUAAUAUACUUCCUUCAUUUUCAAUGAAACUCUUACAACGCUAGUGCUUGAAAUAGUCCUAGGAAAUGUGGAAGAACUUGAACUUAACCUUCAGGAGAAAUAUCCUGCAAGAGUGCCUUGAACAGUAGUUUCAGUUAAUUCUGGAGACAAGCAUGAGGCCAUUUGAGAUAAGUUAGGAUAAUGGGGUCAUAUUAUGUGUGUGGUUUUGUCUUUAAAGGUACUAGGUAUAUUUGUGUGAAUGUUAUAUUUAGGAAAAAAACAGGUUGGUUAUAUUCAGGUUGCCAAUUUAGAAUGUUGGGAGUAUGACCAUGGUAUUGGUUGUUUUGUGAAUAUUAUAGUAACAGAUGGGACAUUAUCUAAUGUACUACUGUAAGAUUCACACAGUGCACUGAAGCUAUGUGUUGGCCUCUUUGUCCAGAGGCUUCUACAAAGCAGUAGCUAUAUACGAUUUUGCUCCACUGACCACGGCCUGCAUGAACACACACUAAAGCUUGCAUGGGAUAAGUGCAAGAGUUAGGGGCAUUCUCUGGGUGAGAGCUAGUGUUACUUGGCCGUCACAAAACAGUGGAUAUUUCGUACUGUACUGUACAGUAUGAGUAGAACUGAAGGGUUUAUCAGUAUGGACAUUCCUACAGUAUGCCUUAUUGUAGGUUUGAAUCAUUCACCCGUGCGGUUUCAGUAUUAAGUGAGUCAUUCCACGAAUAGUGCCUUUCAUGGCCUUGUGACGUUGUGUGCGUGUGUACAUUUUUAUAAAAUACGUCAUUUAACCGUUAGUUCACAUACUUCUCCGCUCUUACCGAGCUAAGCACUCAAUUUAACAGUCGGUUCACAUAAGUCCAAUAGUAGCGUGUUUUCAUGAAAGUAAAUUCCCAUUUUGGCAUGUCCCACAUCAUGUUUGACAAUUUGAACCCGCUUCACCACAAACAUUCCCAAAGUUUUCACCAUCGUUGUAAAGACGUAGUUAUUUUCCUGCCUUGACCAAGUACCAAUGGGUCCCUCAGGUUUAAGGUCAGCCCUGUGACAUGAACUGAACUCUCCUUUACAAAGAAAAAUGUAACAUCUAAUAGUCAAAGCAUAGUGUAAAAGCAGGUGAGCUGGGGCCCCUCUUUUUGUCCAUUUCCAGUGUUUCGUGGUGGAAAACUGAGCGAUUCGAUCAUAACACGUCAACCUCGUUACCCCUAGACAGAUAGGCGACACAUUUUUUAACAAGUUUGCAUGUUUGGUUAAUCUUGCAUUGAAUCGCGCCUCUCUGUUCCAUACCCCCUAAGUUAUGGCUUAAGUAAGAUGUAAUCGUCAAUGCUGUUACUUUAAUUGGCAUUUUACAGCCAUUUUUUUCUGAGAUGGGAAAACAUGUUUUUAUAUAGUUUAACAGUUACUCUUUAUGACGGAAAUAAAUGUGUAUUUGUAUUAUUACACCACCGACAAGGCACUCUAUUCGUGGAAUGACACAAGUAUGGGUUUUGUUCAUGCACAGUACCGUAUGACAUAUAUGAACGUUAGAGGCCGGUAUGAUAUAUAAGGAUUUGUAAUUUAUCGCAUGACCUAAACAAGUUGACUCGUCUAAAGCCCAUGUAGUAACCAACGGAUAAAAUGUGCAUUUCAUACGGUAUCUGUGGAGGUUGUUGGUUAAAAAAAGUCAUAAUGUUCAAUAAGGAGUUUGAUCAUUGACGUAAGAUCAGUCAUAAUCUGUAUCAUAAGGAUAAUAAGUAUACAGUUAUACAGUGACUAAUGUAGUGCUGUGUGUUGAUGACAGAGAAGGGGCUAUGUCUUCUAACUGCACAGUUCUUCCACUUUAGUCUUCUGAGAUGGUCAGAAUCACAAGACCAGCCCAGUGUAUAUCAAUCAAUACUUCUUUCAUUUUGGUUUUGGGUUGUAUGACGCAAUCAUUUAAAUCCAGUAUAACACACAUCAUCUUGUACAAUAAUAUCUAUCAACAAAGAUCAGAAAUCACAUGACUCAAACAAUCCCAGCAAAGGCUCCAUACCCGGAAUGUGAGAUAAAUAGUGUCUGUCACUACUACACCCAUUCAGCCAAUAUCUUCCUUUGCCAACCAGUUGGCAAUUCUUGCAAAUAAAUCCUUUACUUGUUAUGGUUUGAAGCGUUUCCUAACUGUACAGUCGUUCAGUCAGUUCAGUUUGAAUUGAACUUUUGUAGACGAAUAGUGCAGAAUGUUCUGCUCUGAAUCCAAUCUCCAUCCCAUGCAAAGCGAGACUUCUGUUCUCUGUAAACAGCACCUGGCCUAUGUAGCUAUUGACAGGACUCAUCAUGCGCUCACUAUACACAGCAAGGCUUUCUCUGAACUCUGAUCUGUGACGCUUGCAGUAGAAGCUCUGCUCUCUGUACGAUUGCUUUUGCCUAGCUUAUACUCUCCCUGCACUUUCCUGACACACUGAUCAGUAGCGCUCAUCUCGCUCACAAAGAUUGUACAUAUUUGAAGACAGAAAUAAAUAAUAAACUUGUUUUUGCUUGACAACAUGUUUUCUCUGCGUCUGUUAUAUUCAGUAGCGGUGCGUGGGUAAAAUCACUGGGUGAAGGCUCUGAUUUCUGUGUGUGUGUGUGUGUGUGUGUGCGCCUUUGUGAAAGCAGAAAAACACGUUUACUCAACCUACUUGUAGAGAAACGCCAAUGCCAUCCUCCUCUCAUG